GUCAAUGGACGCAAGUCUGAACCAGCCAUGCCGCGUGAAGGAUGAAGGUCCUCUGGAUUGUAAACUUCUUUUAUCUGGGACGAAAACGGGAUUUUUAUCUCAAUUGACGGUACCAGAGGAAUAAGCACCGUCUAACUCCGUGCCAGCAGCCGCGGUAAUACGGAGGGUGCGAGCGUUAUCCGGAUUUACUGGGUUUAAAGGGUGCGUAGGUGGGCUUAUAAGUCAGUGGUGAAAUCUCCGAGCUUAACUUGGAAACUGCCGUUGAUACUAUAGGUCUUGAAUUAUCUGGAGGUAAGCGGAAGAUGUCAUGGAGAGGUGAAAUGCUUAGAUAUGACAUAGAACACCAAUUGCGAAGGCAGCUUACUACAUAUAAAUUGACGCUGAGGCACGAAAGCGUGGGGAUC
rnacentral:rRNA from 1 species